rnacentral:rRNA from 1 species
GACGGAGGAUGCAAGCGUUAUCCGGAAUGAUUGGGCGUAAAGCGUCCGCAGGUGGCAGUUCAAGUCUGCUGUCAAAGACCGGGGCUUAACCCCAGAAAGGCAGUGGAAACUGAAGUGCUAGAGUGCAGUAGGGGUAGAGGGAAUUCCCCGGUGUAGCGGUGAAAUGCGUAGAGAUCGGGAAGAACAUCGGUGGCGAAAGCGCGCUACGUGGACCGAGACUGACACUCAUGGACGAAAGCUAGGGGAGCGAAAGGG